rnacentral:lncRNA from 1 species
CUUCAACAUCACGAUAGUGAAGGGUUGAAGGUAAAAGCCAGCAUGCAAUGAAGCAAGUCUCACUUGCCAUUUCUUUCUUUUUAGACUCUCUAAUUCUCAACUUCAUAUGCCAUUUUUGGUUGCUUUCAACUCUUUUUUUCUCUCCUCCUCCCUCGUAUUAUUUCAUAUAUAUACAUAUAACAUAUACGUAAUGGAGGAAUAGGAGUCUUGUUUGCCUUGUGUUCUGUUUCAUAGUUUUGCCUUGAAAUUUGUUCCCUAUAAAGAGAUGCUGUAUGCUCUGCAAUUGUUUUGGGAGCUUUUUGGGCGGGAGUUUUUUGGGGUUUUAACUACAGGUUUGUCUCUACAUUUCAUUGAUUUUCUCUGUCUCACAAUUAAAAAAGAGCUUGUUUUCUUCGAGUUUCUUGAUUGGAAUUUCACGUAUUUUUCAUAAAAUAAAUUCUCUGGGGUCUUUUCUUCUUCGUUUAUUUUGGAUUUUUCGUUAUUAAGAUACCUAUUUCUUGGGACUUAUUUUCUGGGUUUUUCAUUACAAUUCAAAAACACAAAUUUUGGGCCCUUUGUGCCUUACAAAAUUUUGGGCAUUUCUACUCGAGGAAAGAGAAGCCGAAAAACGAGGUUGGAAUUGUCCUUUUUUUUGUUUGUUUAGUCGUCUGAAAGUUUCAGAUUAUAGGAAGCAUUCCCUGGUUCAUGGGCUUCUUGGUUUGUUGUGGGGGUGGGGGUGGGGGUGGAGUGGAUUUGGGAUGGGUUAGGAAAGAAAAAGACCAAUUAUAUUUUUUGAUUUUAAUGUAAAGUUAUCAUUCUCUCCCUUUAAAAAUUGUUAAAAUAUGGUCAAAAUAAUUUUUUGGCAACAAUGAAAUUUUGGAUGAAAACCGUUCAAAAAGACACCAGAUGCAACGUUUGAAAAUGUUAUGGGUAAUAACUGCAACAAAUCUAAUGUUUGGAAAAAAUUUCGAAGGUUUUGGGCUUCUACUGCAAGUAUCCCUAAAGUAAAUGAGACGUUGUGUUGCAAGCGCUGAUUUGCAUCCUAAUUUACAAAUGAAUUAGAAUCUAAUCAUGCGGGGAGAUUUACCUUGAUUCUUUAUAGACUUCUAUGAAGGAUGCAGGGGUACUUCUCGCUUAUUCCUUCUAGACAAGUAUAUUUUCUUUCUUUAUUUUAUGUUGAAGUAUUUAACAGUGUUUACUCUAAAAGUAAAAUCUCACAUACAAAAGUUAAUCAAAUUUUUAUUAAGAGCUCAAAAUAUCAUACCUUUACAGCCUUACAUAUUUGAUGUUUUGCGUGCUGGGGCGUGUUUAAAAUGCUGCACAGAUCCUUUAUUCUUUGGAGUAGAAACGUCUUCAUCUAAAACAACGAAGGCAUAAAUGUUCAGAGGAAAAAGAGGACACGCUAAGCUAAUGUAAUUCAUUAUCUAAUACUUGCAACUUUUAGCAGUACUUGGGUUUUUGACAUAUCUUUACAUGUAUCUUUUCCCGUUAUAAUAUUCGUACCUUCACAUUUGAGCUAUUACCCUAUAAAUUGUAGAAUCCAUGAGUGCCAUUUUUAUUUUAACAUGUAAUUCUUUUCUUCUGGCUAAAAUAAGUAUGCUACACAAUUUCAAAUUCCAAUUAUAUAUAUUACGUCUUUCCUCUCUGAAUUGUGUCAUUAUCACAUGAUAUAGUCUUGAUCAAGAAAUUUGAUUCACAAGGAACCUAUCUAUUCAGAUUUAGAACCAUCAAGUGCAUGUGCAAUAUAAUAGUAGAGAAAUUCUCUCUCUCUCUCUCAAAUGGUGAAGUACAGUUUAUAAAUACUUUCAAAUUUGUGGUAACAGUAGAAACCUUUUACCCCCUUUUCAAUUCUUUCCUUUUCUUGAUUUGGGGAGUUUCUAAAUGGAUUAUCGAGCAGUGAUAUGCACUUCAGAAAACUGCCUAGAUUGUCCAUUUAUUUUUUCAUGCAUUAUUACAAAUUAUUAUUGUGUGUCUAGUAGAGGGAAGAGCUAAAGUAGAGGAAUGUAGAAACUCCAAAAGUUAUACCAACCAUCACAUGCCAAGUAAGAUAUCUAAUAUUAUUCUUUUGCCAUAGAUUUCUCUUUUCAAUUGAUAUAGUGCACAAUAUGAGAUGCUCCUGGUCUGCAUCUUAACUUUUAUAGAUUCCAUUAGUUGUUUCUCAAAGAGUGUUACAAAUAGCAUUAAAAAAUCCUGCACGUUGUGUGAAACUGAAAAGGCGGCCGAAUGGAGUUUUAUUUGACUCAAAAAAUGGGAAGAGUUACAUGGAGAAAUUAUUGAAGAAUCAUUUCCCAGAGCAUAAAGUGGUUCAUGAAGUCUCCGUGAGCUCAUCCCUCCUUAAACUACCAACACACGAUCAUAAUGAAUCUGGGGUUGAAGUGCUUGAUUUUGUACCCUUGAGUCCUAAUAUGGGGAGAAAAAGUAGUUCGUCAUCUUCAAACGCUAAUAAAAUUGUGCUGGAACCAUCCUUAUAUGAGUCAAUUGAAGUUUUUACAGAUGAUAGUCUCAUUCAGGUGCCAAAUCAAAUAAUAGUUUUGAAGUAGUUGACAUCUCAUGUGUUUUUGACCUCGUAACAAGUGAAAAGGAUAUAACAUUUUGAUGGAGAAAGCAAAGAAGAAGGUAACUUAAGUGGUUACCCUUCGGAUGAGAACUAUUAUGUGGAUGCUCAUUCGACCAUCGAGCCAGAUAUGGAUAAAGACUCCGAAUGUAGAGGCAAGAUGGACUUCACAUCCUCGAAUAUGAAGAAACAGCUGUCUAUUUCCAAUGCAGAUGAUGAGUAUCUUCAAACUCUUUCUUCAUAUUCUCAAUUGAUUGGACACUCCAGUCUACAAAUGCUGUACUGUCCACUUUCUUAUUUCUCGAUCAAAUUUUGUGGCUUGGUAGGAUAGGCAUAUAUAAGGUAUGGCUGGGACUUGAAAUUAAAAUUUUCUAUGAGACAUGAAUGAAUAAGAAUACACAAAAUGAUGUAUCCCAUAAAAUUUUGAAUAGUAACACCACAGUCUCUAUCUCUGGACAUUAGAAGAUUGGCAGCAGGAUGCGGAAUGGGAAUCUUUUCAUUUCUCAGCAUUUAGCAAUUUUUACACCUUUAAUUUCUUGUUUUUGUGUUUGGUUCUUUCGGUUUGUCCAGCUCUAUUGUUGAAUAUUUUAUUUCUUUCCAUAUCCCGUUCGAGGUUAUGCCUUUAACCCUUUUUCAGUGCAUUUAGUUCUUUCUGUUUCCUCGGCUUUGCUAUUGAGUGUUAAGCAUAUCUAAUUGAUUGCAAAAUUGUGUAAAAUAUUUGAAAUCUGUCAUUUAUUUUUCUAAAAAAAAUUUAAAAUAUCUUUGCUUAUAUUUACUAAUUCUGAAACUUUGUCUUUACAUUACAAAUGUACUUUAGAAUUUAAUUUUAUAUGUGUGGAGACUUGACAAUCUAAUUCUGAAAUUUUGUCUUAUGUGUGUUACUUCCUCCUUGCAGUACGAGGGAGGUGAAUAAAAAAGUUUUAAAAGUCCAUAAAGAAUGGUAAUUCUUUUUUCAAAUUUUUACUUUUUAUUUUUUUGGUUCUUUCAUAUUUUCCAAAUUUCUUAAAUGUCUUAUGGUUACUUUGGUAUUCAUGGGAAGAUUGUAACAUUCAAGUUGUCAAUUGCAAGCAGUUAAUUUGCAAAAUGGCUUUUCUGUUUUCGUACCUCUCUUUAACAACUUUUAACAUUUGGGAAUGCUAUCAAGUUUCUUUUCAUCAUUUUUGAGUAUGCGAGCUUUUCUUUAGCAUGUAAGAUAAGAGAUUAUCUUUCAAUUGAAGAGCAUCGUGUGGUUUUACGAGUCUCGAUAUUAUGAUUUGUAAUUUUAUUUUCCUUUUUGAGUUGGGCUUUCGUUUAACACGCACAAGAGCUGAAGUUGGAAAAUAAGAAUUUGAUGUUUUUGUUAUAUCUCUCGGCUUCCUGGCUUCCGUCAAAUUGUCAACCAAAGAUAUGUCUUCGCUCGCUCCCUUAAUAUUUGCAUACAUCAAAUAUAUUUGCAU